rnacentral:rRNA from 1 species
UGAACGCUAGCGGGAGGCUUAAUACAUGCAAGUCGAGGGGUAACAUGAAACUUCGGUUUUGAUGACGACCGGCGCACGGGUGAGUAACGCGUACAUAACCUACCUUCAAGAUGGGGAUAGCCCUGGGAAACUGGGAUUAAUACCCUAUGUGAUUGCGAUUUAAUAAUAAGACGUAAUUAAAGCUUUGGUGCUUGAAGAUGGGUGUGCGUUAGAUUAGCUAGUUGGUACGGUAACGGCGUACCAAGGCGACGAUCUAUAGGGGGCGUGAGAGCGUGGACCCCCACACGGGUACUGAGACACGGACCCGACUCCUACGGGAGGCAGCAGUAAGGAAUAUUGGACAAUGGGCGAGAGCCUGAUCCAGCCAUCCCGCGUGCAGGAUGACGGCCCUAUGGGUUGUAAACUGCUUUUAGAUAGGAAGAAAUGUAUGGAUUUAUCCGUAUUUGACGGUACUAUCAGAAUAAGCACCGGCUAACUCC